UAUUAUAUAUAUUAUAUAAACAUAUAUAUAAAAUAUAUAAACUUAUACAUAAUAUAUAAACUUAAAUAUUAUAUUAACUAUAAUAUAUAAAUACAUAUAACUUACAUAUUAUAUUUUUGAUAUAUAUAUAAAUAUAAAUUUUUUUCUUUCUCAUAUAAGAGGCGAGCAGUCCAGGACUGGUACGGUGGCCCCUUGAUCACUAUCUGGGUAUGCAGCUUCUAUCCUCAAGGUCACCUCAUGAUCCAAGAUGGCUGCUGAAACUCCAGUCAUUACAUCACAUGGAGUUGCAGGCUGGAAGGAGGAAAGAAAGACAAAAGCUCCUCCAACUCCCUGCUGUCAUCUCCCAUGAAGCAGCCUUAUUAGGAAUCCCACAGAACACUUGCACUUAUCUCAUUGCUAGAACCUAGUCACAUAGGUUGUGCACACUUAGCUGUAAGAAAGUCUGAGAAAUGAAGGGGUUUUUUUUUUAGCAAGACACAUUGUCACCCAGAAUAUAAUCAGGGUCCUUCCACCAAAACAAAGAAUGGAGAAUGGGUAUUGAGGGAUGCUCAGAGUCUAAGCCAGAGUUGGGAGGAAAUAAAGGACACUUCCAGUUAGGUUUUAAUGCUUUCUUUUUCUAUAAGAAGGCUAUGUCACUUUGGAAAUUUAAAACAUAAGUAAAAGAACCAUUUUGGAAAAAAUAAGAGAAAUUCUGGAAAAGAGAGAUUAGCGCUUACCCUAUAGGAAUAAUUUCCGAAAGUGGAAUUUCAGGCAUCAGAGGCAUGGUGUUUUAGACGAGGGAGUAGAAACCCUGCCAGAGCCCUCAAGUCAAUGCACACAAACACAUGGGACUAGGGCACACUGCCUAUGGGGUAACCCUACUCCACAAAGAGCAGUUAAAAAAAAAAAAGCCUAUCCAGGUGGAGAGAGUUCUGUAGGUGUGGAUAUUCAUGCAUUCCUAUGCUUGAAGCCAAAUAUUUGUUUUAAUACAUGCUAGUUUUGGCCAGGUGCAGUGGCAGAUUACAUGCCCGUAAUCUCAGCACUUUGGGAGGCCGAGGCAGGAGGAUUGCUUGAGCUCAGGAAUGCAAGACCAGCCUGGGCAACAUAGGGAGACCUCAUCUCUACAAAAAAAUUAAAAAAUUAGCCGGGUAUGGUGGCACACACCUGUAGUCCCAGCUACUUGGGAGGCUGAGGUGGGAGGAUCAUUUGGGCCCAGGAGGUCGAGGCUGCAGUGAGCCAUGAUUCCACCACUGCACUCCAGCUUGGGUAACAGAGUGAGACCCUGUCUUAAAAAAAAAAAAAAAAACCCAAACAAAAACAAACAAAAAAAAGCAUGCUAAUCUCCAUGUCUGUCUACCCUUUUCUUCUCCACUUCACAAUGUCACUCACAGAGGGGAAACAUGAAGUUUGCCAUCCACUCAAAUACAGUUCUCUCUUUCUCCUCACCACAAUCACUCCCUAAGCAACUACCUGAGAACUCUUUCAAAAAUGCAAGGCAAGCAUAUUCCUCCACUGUUUAAACCCUUCUCAGAUUCCCUGACCAAAGCAGGCAAACUCCCUCUUCAUGAGGCCCCUUCCCUAAUUUCCAGUCCUGCUUUCUGUCAGCUCCUCUGUGUCUUCCUCCUCCCCAGAUAGAGCCUCCAAGAAGCUUCUGCUCUCUGGGAUGCCCUGCCCUCCAUUGUCUACCUAGCAAACUCCUACUUUCCCUUCAAUGGCCCACUCAAAGGCACCUCCUCUGUGAACACUUCCUUGAUUGCCUACAGGCAGGGACCUUUUUUUUUCUUUCUUUUGUGUUCCUGUGACACUUCAUGACCAUCUCUGCCAGCAGGUCUAUGUUUUCCAUUAGAGCAUGAACUCUUCCAGAGUAGAAAUGAGGCUUUAUUUUUGUCUGUGCCUCAAUGCCAAGCACAGAGCCUGGCAUGAACUAGGUGCCCAGUGUAAGGCAGUUAUAAGGCAAUAGAGCAUAGUGGUUAAGAGCAUAAACUCUGAUGCUACCCCACCUGACUUCGAGGUCAGGCUCUGCCACCUACUUAACAGCUAUGUGCCUCAGUUUCCCCACUUGUAAAAUGGGGAUAAAGAUACUUCCUACCCCAUAAGUUUCUGUUGAAGACUCAAUGAAGGAAUAUAUGCAAAGGGUUCGUCACUCAUUACAUGAAAGCCAUCAUCUUUAUUACUUCUGAAUACAAUGCUAGUGCAGCAGAAGGGGCACCAGGAACCCCGCCCCUCACCAGCUCAAGGGCUUUGGUUAGACAAGACUACCUCUCUGACAGAUGUAGGUUGAUAUUAUUCUAAAAUAUGUUGUGCAUUUCAUCUUCCUGGAGAAACUCAGGGAAGUUACAAAAUACUAUCUCUUUGCUUGAAGGAUCUUGCAUAAUUCCUUGGCCCUAGUCCAUUUGUAGGGAGCACAUUUAGUAACCCAAACAGAGUGUUAGAAAAGGCUUGCCUGGAAAGGGUUAACCACAGAGCUUUAGAAGGAGUUGGGCUCUGGGGAAAGAGAGAUUUCUAGGGAUGGUGGAAGAUGAGGCCUCCCUGCCCUCUGGGACCCUGGGAGGCGUCACCAUGGUGAUGCAGAGUGUAGGUCCGCUUUGCAUGUAUUUGGGGCUUUUUGUUUCUUCUGUUCUGGUGAGGGUCAGUUGAACUAGAUUAUGGAGAAAUGAGAUACAGAGAAAGGGAAAUGCUUUCUCCAGCCAGGGUAGUAUGGGAAGUUAUUGGAAAAGCAAGGACUAGAACUUAUUAGUUAACUUAUUAAUUAACCAAUAUUUAUGGAGCCCACUCUAUGCCAGGCCCAAUUCUAGGUACGGAGGACUUGGCAGAGAGCACGGCAGACAGUGUCUCUGGUCUAAUGGGGACAGCAGGCAGGAAUCAAGGAAGCAAAUAAAUAUGUGCCAUAUUUCACUGACCCUAAGAUGUCCCUCCCUUUUUUCACAUUUUAAAAUCUCUGAAAUCAAGGUGGAUGCAUCUUACAAUCAGUGAUAUGUCUUGAGAGCAUUUUCUUCUCUCAUAGUGAUAUGUAAAAUAAUGCUAUACCUUACAACUGAUGGCAUCUGAGAUUUAAUAAGAUAUAGUAAUAUGAUUCAAGUGAUGGCAUUCUCACCUCCUUAACACUGAUUUAUUUUCCAUCCAAGUGACUUACAGUAGAAACUCCUGCCUGAAAUGGACAACUCCUCUGACUGAUCUAUUUCUAGGACUUCUUUAGAAAUUCAUGGUUCUUUCAGUUAUAUUUCUGUGAAUCCACUUUUUUUUGGAACCAACAAAGACCCUUCCUGUAUCAGUAAGGAAUUUAUUUGGCUACAAAUAGGAGAAAACCAGAACCAUAAUGAUUGACACUGAUUUGCAUGACCCUGGGACUGGCGCAGCUGCUCAUCAGGCAUCCAGGCUGCUUCUUUCAUUUUACUCUACCAUCCUCAGCACAGGACUUUAGUCCUCAUGGUCACAAGAUGGCUGCUGUACUUCCUGGUCUCACAUCCAUGUUCCAGGCAGGAGGAGGGAGGAAGGACAAAAGGCAUGCCAGUCCCCCCACUCCUUUUUUAAAAAUCAGGAAAACAAGCUUUGCCAGAAGCAUCACUAGGCUGAACUUGCCUAUUUCUCACAGUCCGUGUGGUGUCACACGCUCACCUCUAGCUAGAAGAUGCCUGUGGAAAAGAGGGUUGUGUGAAUGAAGAUGAGAAGCCAACGGUGUCUGCUCUGCUGAAGAAAUAGAACAAUGGAGUUCUCAUGAGUGCAUUGCGUGUGUGAUGGCAUUUGUAGUGCAAUCAGAGGGAGGAGGGGAUGCCAUUCCUAUUCUUGACAGGAAAUCACUACACAGAUUUGCCUCACCUGAAAAUGUGGCAGAAGCCAGUCAGCAACGUCGUGACAGAGCCUGGACUUCUUCGUGCUUGUCUCCACAUAUCCAGCCACCUUGAGGAAGAGGAUGAUCCCACAGGCGCCAGCCAUGUUACUAGCCACUUUCUAACUUCCAAAUAAGAGGGAAAGGAACAUUCCAGACCAGGGGAGCCCACCCCCAACUCUUGGAAGAGAGCUUCAAUUUUUCCCAGAGACUCUGAAAUGACUCCAUCAAGGAGUCGAGUAGCUCAUAAGGGACCAAAGCUGCUACGCCAGAAGAUGGAGACAGUCUCAACCAGAUGCUCAUGUCCUGAGGGCAGGACGCAAGCCCUGGGCUGAGGCCCAGUGAGGAUCUCACAUUAAGGGGAGGGAGGAGGAGGGCUGGGUCAGGGAGGGACCCUUUGAGGGGUUGGCUGUUGGGGGAGCAAGUGCCUUCAUUAACAAAGGUGUUGGUGUUUGGCAAUCUUCUUUACCUGCUGAUGGUCUUCUUUUCCCAUCUAUCUUUGCAUCCUAGGCUUGUCAACUAACACAUCAAUAUAAUUCCUUUUGGAAGUGGCUGAAAAACUGCAAACACAGAACUUAUUGGUAGCUACAGUGGUAGAUUGUAAAAAUGGCCACAAUCCUUCACUGCGUCUAUAUGUUUACCCCUAAGCUAAAUGACUCUGUGCCCCUCUUCCAUCAAGAGGAACAGACUACCUCUCUGCUCCUUUGAUUGGGGCUGCCCUAGGGACUCACUGUGGCCAGUAGAAUGCAGCGGACCUUGUUUGUACGGUUCUGAAGCUCUUGCCUACUUCUCUCUCUGGAAACUUGUGUGAACAAGCCCGAGCUAGCCUGCUGGAGAAUGAGAAACACAGAGAAGCUGCCCCAGCUGAGGCUGUCCUAGUCCAGCCAGGCCCCAGCCCACCAGGCAGCUGGCCUCUGAGCAUGGGCAAGCUGGCAGAAAUAUGCCGGACUGCAGAAUCCUCCCCCGUGGCUACCUAUUUGCAAGCAGCUCUGUGCUCCUAAUGACAAGGAAAACCCAGAGGCUUAAAAUAGAACUCAUUUCCCAGGAUCUCAGGUACUCAGAGGAGAGAGGGGUGGGGACUUCUUGGACACAAGCUCACUUUAGCUGAUGAAACACAGGGAAGUGGUGUGUCCUUCACACUACAAGGAAGGAAACUUGUUUUGCUGGGAAAUACUGCAGAGGUUUUUGCCUCAUUUUCAUGGGAAGGGCUGAAGCUUCCACCCUCUGGCAACAUGGGCCAGACCCAAAUGAACUUGUGGCUGAGACCAGCUUUUCCUAAUGUAAGUGCUCAGUUGGCCAGGCAUGAUGGCUCAUACCUGUAAUCCCAGCACUUUGGGAGUCUGAGGUGGGUGGAUCACCUGAGGUCAGGAAUUUGAGACCAGCCUGGCCAACAUCGUGAAACCCUGUCUCUACUAAAAAUACAAAAAUUAGCAUGGUGGCAGGUGCCUGUAAUUCCAGCUACUCAGGAGGCGGAGACAGGAGAAUUGCUUGAACCCGGGAGGUGGAGGUUGCAGUGAGCCGAGACAGUGCCACUGCACUGCAGCCUGGGCAACAGAGCAAGACGCCAUCUCAAAAAAAAAAAAGAAAA